rnacentral:rRNA from 1 species
AGAUUGAACGCUGGCGGCAUGCCUUACACAUGCAAGUCGAACGGCAGCACGGGAGCAAUCCUGGUGGCGAGUGGCGAACGGGUGAGUAAUACAUCGGAACGUGCCCAAUCGUGGGGGAUAACGCAGCGAAAGCUGUGCUAAUACCGCAUAAGAUCUACGGAUGAAAGCAGGGGAUCGCAAGACCUUGCGCGAAUGGAGCGGCCGAUGGCAGAUUAGGUAGUUGGUGAGGUAAAGGCUCACCAAGCCUUCGAUCUGUAGCUGGUCUGAGAGGACGACCAGCCACACUGGGACUGAGACACGGCCCAGACUCCUACGGGAGGCAGCAGUGGGGAAUUUUGGACAAUGGGCGAAAGCCUGAUCCAGCCAUGCCGCGUGCAGGAUGAAGGCCUUCGGUUGUAAACUGCUUUGUACGGAACGAAAGUCUACUUUCUAAUAAGAGGAUCAUGACGGUACCGUAAGAAUAAGACACCGGACUAACUACGUACG